GUGAAUUGAAUAUGUUAGCGGACCUCUUCGGAGUCCCUAGCAUCAAAUCAUAUCCAUAACACCUGUGAACUGUAAGGCUGUCUUGAAAACGAAAGUGAUUAGAGCGCCUGCCCAUUUUAUACAAGCAUUAAAGUAACAAACGUAGUCUUAUUAUAAUCUAAUA
rnacentral:misc_RNA from 1 species